rnacentral:rRNA from 1 species
CCUACGGGAGGCAGCAGUAGGGAAUAUUGCUCAAUGGGGGAAACCCUGAAGCAGCAACGCCGCGUGGAGGAUGAAGGUUUUCGGAUUGUAAACUCCUUUUGUUAGAGAAGAUAAUGACGGUAUCUAACGAAUAAGCACCGGCUCACUCCGUGCCAGCAGCCGCGGUAAUACGGAGGGUGCAAGCGUUACUCGGAAUCACUGGGCGUAAAGAGCGCGUAGGCGGGAUAGCAAGUCAGAUGUGAAAUCCUAUGGCUUAACCAUAGAACUGCAUUUGAAACUGUUAUUCUAGAGUAUGGGAGAGGUAGGUGGAAUUCUUGGUGUAGGGGUAAAAUGCGUAGAGAUCAAGAGGAAUACUCAUUGCGAAGGCGACCUGCUAGAACAUAACUGACGCUGAUGCGCGAAAGCGUGGGGAGCAAACAGGAUUAGAUACCCCGGUAGUC